rnacentral:misc_RNA from 1 species
UACAGAGACUGCAAGCGUUAUUCGGAUUCACUGGGCGUAAAGGGUGCGCAGGUGGCCAAGUGUGUUAGGCGUGAAAGCCCGGGGCUUAACCCCGGAAUUGCACCUAAAACUACAUGGCUAGAGCAUUGGAGAGGGGAGCAGAAUUCACGGUGUAGCAGUGAAAUGCGUAGAUAUCGUGAGGAAUACCAGAGGCGAAGGCGGCUACCUGGACAAUUGCUGACGCUCUGGCACGAAAGCGUGGGGAGCAAAAGGG